UCCGGCAGCUAGCUCUCUGCAACUCUCACAUGGUCACCCACUGAAGCUGAGCAGGGCUGCACCCAGUCAGGACCUGGAUGGGAGACCACAUGGGAAAGCUAGGUUGUUGCCGGAA
rfam:Danio rerio chromosome 23, GRCz11 reference primary assembly.